rnacentral:rRNA from 1 species
GAUGAACGCUGGCGGCGUGCUUAACACAUGCAAGUCGAACGGAAAGGCCAUGCUUUUGUGGGGUUCUCGAGUGGCGAACGGGUGAGCAACACGUGAGUAUCCUGCCCUUGACUUUGGGAUAACUUCAGGAAACUGGGGCUAAUACCGGAUAGGAGCUCCUGCUGCAUGGUGGGGGUUGGAAAGUUUCGGCGGUUGGGGAUGGACUGGCGGCUUAUGAGCUUGUUGGUGGGGUAGUCGCAUACCAAGGCUUUGACGGAUAGCCGGCCUGAGAGCGUGACCGGCCACAAUAGGACUAAGAGAGGGACCAGACUGCUACGGGAGGCAACAGUGGAGAGUAUUGCACAGUGGGCGGAAGCCUGAUGCAGCAACGCCGCGUGCGGGAUGACCGCCUUCGGGGUGAGAACCGCUUUCGCCUGUGACGAAGCGUGCGUGACGGUAAUGAGUAAAGAAGCACCGGCUAACUACGUG